ensembl:lncRNA
CAGGUCACCACGUUUGUCUUUAGCUCCAUUCUUCAGCUCUUGUUUUUCUAUUUACAUUUUUUACGGCUAUCAGAUGAGAUGUGACUGACAAUAAGUCUUCUGUCCUCUGUACUCGUUGCAGGUACAGAGAGUCCUCACAUGCUUCAGUGCCAUGGAUGGCGUCACGCAGCCUUGCCUUCAAUAUGACCCACAUCGUCAAAUUGACAGCACUGGCAGGCAGCCAGCUCUCCCAACAAAACAGCCGAGCCACGUGCAGCUUCGCCUGGGAAGGGAAGUAACUUACGUAUCAUGCCUUCUACGAGUCGAGCACAGAAACGCGAAUAUUCUGGGGAGCAGCAUGCCGUGCAGUUCCCUGCUGUCCGCUCUGUGACCCCUCUGAAGUUACACCGAUUUCCAUGAAGCCUUGAAAAGGGAGGGGAGCUGCAAGCCGAUCCACGCUCGCCACCAUCAACAAGGCGUAGAUCCGAACUCCCUCUGACGUCUUGAUGUCACAGCCUCU